rnacentral:rRNA from 1 species
GAUGAACGCUGGCGGCGUGCCUAAUACAUGCAAGUCGAACGAGGUGCUUUUGUAGCAAUACGAAAGUAUCCUAGUGGCGAACGGGUGAGUAACGCGUUGGUGACCUACCCCAAAGUGUGGGAUAACAGUUCGAAAGAACUGCUAAUACCGCAUGUGGUUAUCGGGUUUAGAAACUGAUAACUAAAGGAGCAAUUCGCUUUGGGAGGGACCUGCGUCCCAUCAGCUAGUUGGUGAGGUAACGGCUCACCAAGGCUACGACGGGUAGGGGACCUGAGAGGGUGGCCCCCCACAAUGGAACUAGAACAACGGUCCAUACACCUACGGGUGGCAGCAGUAGGGAAUAUUGCACAAUGGGCGAAAGACCUGAUGCAGCAACGACCGCGUGUGCGAUGAAGGCCUUCGGUCGGUAAGACACUUUCUUGUAGAGA